rnacentral:tRNA from 1 species
GGGCCUCUAGCUCAUGGUGGUCAGAGCAGCGGACUCAUAAUCCGUUGGUGCCGGGUUCGACCCCCGGGGGGCCCACCA